CCUACGGGUGGCAGCAGUGGGGGAUAUUGCACAAUGGGGGGAACCCUGAUGCAGCGACGCCGCGUGGGCGAUGGAGUGCUUCGGCAUGUAAAGCCCUAUCAGCAGGGAAGAAAAUGACGGUACCUGACUAAGAAGCACCGGCUAAAUACGUGCCAGCAGCCGCGGCAAUACGUAGGGGGCAAGCGUUAUCCGGAUUUACUGGGCGUAAGGGGGGCGUAGGCGGCCUGGCAAGGCUGAUGGGAAAUACUGGGGCCCAACCCCGGGGCUGCAUUGGGAACUGCCAGGCUGGAGUGCCGGAGAGGCAGGCGGAAUUCCUGGUGUAGCGGUGAAAUGCGUAGAGAUUAGGAGGAACACCAGUGGCGAAGGCGGCCUGCUGGACGGUGACUGACGCUGAGGCUCGAAAGCGUGGGGAGCAAACAGGAUUAGAUACCCUUGUAGUC
rnacentral:rRNA from 1 species